GAUGAACGCUGGCGGCGCGCUUAACACAUGCAAGUCGAACGAAGCAUUUAAGUGGAUUUCCUUCGGGGAUGAAGCUUAUCUGACUGAGUGGCGGACGGGUGAGUAACGCGUGGGUAACCUGCCUUACACAGGGGGAUAACAGCUGGAAACGGCUGCUAAUACCGCAUAAGCGCACUAGUGCUGCAUGGCAUAGUGUGAAAAGAUUUUAUCGGUGUAAGAUGGACCCGCGUCUGAUUAGCUGGUUGGUGGGGUAAUGGCCGACCAAGGCAACGAUCAGUAGCCGGAUUGAGAGGGUGAACGGCCACAUUGGGACUGAGACACGGCCCAAACUCCUACGGGAGGCAGGAGUGGGGAAUAUUGCACAAUGGGGGAAACCCUGAUGCAGCGACGCCGCGUGAGUGAAGAAGUAUUUCGGUAUGUAAAGCUCUAUCAGCAGGGACGAAAGAAGUUGAAAGACACUUUGUGACGGUACCUGACUAAGAAGCCCCGGCUAACUACGUGCCAGCCGCCGCAGUAA
rnacentral:rRNA from 1 species